AUUGAACGCUGGCGGCAUGCCUUACACAUGCAAGUCGAACGGUAACGCGGGGCAACCUGGCGACGAGUGGCGAACGGGUGAGUAAUGCAUCGGAACGUGCCCAGUAGUGGGGGAUAGCCCGGCGAAAGCCGGAUUAAUACCGCAUACGACCUACGGGUGAAAGCGGGGGACCGUAAGGCCUCGCGCUAUUGGAGCGGCCGAUGUCAGAUUAGGUUGUUGGUGGGGUAAAAGCCUACCAAGCCGACGAUUUGUAGCUGGUCUGAGAGGACGACCAGCCACACUGGGACUGAGACACGGCCCAGACUCAUACGGGAGGCAGCAGUGGGGAAUUUUGGACAAUGGGGGCAACCCUGAUCCAGCCAUGCCGCGUGCGGGAAGAAGGCCUUCGGGUUGUAAACCGCUUUUGUCAGGGAAGAAACGCUCUGGGCUAAUACCCUGGGGUAAUGACGGUACCUGAAGAAUAAGCACCGGCUAACUACGUGCCAGCAGCCGCAGUAA
rnacentral:rRNA from 1 species